rnacentral:rRNA from 1 species
GGGUGCGAUCAUACCAGCACUAAUGCACGGGAUCCCAUCAGAACUCCGAAGUUAAGCGUGCUGGGCGAGAGUAGUGCUAGGAUGGGUGACCCCUUGGGAAGUCCUCGUGUUGCACCUC